CGCGUAGGUGGUAGUGUAAGUCUGAGGUGGAAUCCUAUGGCUUAACCAUAGAACUGCCUUGGAUACUGUAUUACUUGAGUCAGUGAGGGGAGGGUAGAAUUCCUGGUGUAGCGGUGAAAUGCGUAGAUAUCAGGAGGAAGGCCUGUGGCGAAGGCGGCCCUCUGGUGCUGGACUGACACUGAGGCGCGAAAGCGUGGGGAGCAAACAGGAUUAGAUACCCUGGUAGUCCACGCCCUAAACGGUGGGCACUAGGUGUAGGGCUCGCAAGGGUUCUGUGCCGAAGGGAAACCAUUAAGUGCCCUGCCUGGGGAGUACGGCCGCAAGGUUGAA
rnacentral:rRNA from 1 species